rnacentral:rRNA from 1 species
AGUCGAACGGCAGCACGGAGCUUGCUCUGGUGGCGAGUGGCGAACGGGUGAGUAAUAUAUCGGAACGUACCCUGGAGUGGGGGAUAACGUAGCGAAAGUUACGCUAAUACCGCAUACGAUCUAAGGAUGAAAGUGGGGGAUCGCAAGACCUCAUGMUCGUGGAGCGGCCGAUAUMUGAUUAGCUAGUUGGUAGGGUAAAAGCCUACCAAGGCAUCGAUCAGUAGCUGGUCUGAGAGGACGACCAGCCACACUGGAACUGAGACACGGUCCGGACUCCUACGGGAGGCAGCAGUGGGGAAUUUUGGACAAUGGGCGCAAGCCUGAUCCAGCAAUGCCGCGUGAGUGAAGAAGGCCUUCGGGUUGUAAAGCUCUUUUGUCAGGGAAGAAACGGUGAGAGCUAAUAUCUUUUGCUAAUGACGGUACCUGAAGAAUAAGCACCGGCUAACUACGUGCCAGCAGCCGCGGUAAUACGUAGGGUGCAAGCGUUAAUCGGAAUUACUGGGCGUAAAGCGUGCGCAGGCGGUUUUGUAAGACUGUCGUGAAAUCCCCGGGCUCAACCUGGGAAUGGCGAUGGUGACUGCAAGGCUAGAGUUUGGCAGAGGGGGGUAGAAUUCCACGUGUAGCAGUGAAAUGCGUAGAUAUGUGGAGGAACACCGAUGGCGAAGGCAGCCCCCUGGGUCAAAACUGACGCUCAUGCACGAAAGCGUGGGGAGCAAACAGGAUUAGAUACCCUGGUAGUCCACGCCCUAAACGAUGUCUACUAGUUGUCGGGUCUUAAUUGACUUGGUAACGCAGCUAACGC